GGCAGUGCAGCACAGUGGGUAAGGAACUGGGCUUGUAACCAAAAGGUCAUAGGUUCAAUUCCUGGGUAUGAACACUGCCG
rnacentral:tRNA from 1 species